rnacentral:rRNA from 1 species
CCUACGGGAGGCAGCAGUGGGGAAUAUUGCACAAUGGGCGCAAGCCUGAUGCAGCCAUGCCGCGUGUGUGAAGAAGGCCUUCGGGUUGUAAAGCACUUUCAGCGGGGAGGAAGGCGUUAAGGUUAAUAACCUUGGCGAUUGACGUUACCCGCAGAAGAAGCACCGGCUAACUCCGUGCCCAGCAGCCGCGGUAAUACGGAGGGUGCAAGCGUUAAUCGGAAUUACUGGGCGUAAAGCGCACGCAGGCGGUCUGUCAAGUCGGAUGUGAAAUCCCCGGGCUCAACCUGGGAACUGCAUUCGAAACUGGCAGGCUAGAGUCUUGUAGAGGGGGGUAGAAUUCCAGGUGUAGCGGUGAAAUGCGUAGAGAUCUGGAGGAAUACCGGUGGCGAAGGCGGCCCCCUGGACAAAGACUGACGCUCAGGUGCGAAAGCGUGGGGAGCAAACAGGAUUAGAUACCCCGGUAGUC